rnacentral:rRNA from 1 species
AGUGAACGCUGGCGGUAGGCCUAACACAUGCAAGUCGAACGGCAGCACAGUAAGAGCUUGCUCUUACGGGUGGCGAGUGGCGGACGGGUGCGGAAUACAUCGGAAUCUACUUUUUCGUGGGGGAUAACGUAGGGAAACUUACGCUAAUACCGCAUACGACCUACGGGUGAAAGCAGGGGAUCUUCGGCCCUUGCGCGAUUGAAUGAGCCGAUGUCGGAUUAGCUAGUUGGCGGGGUAAAGGCCCACCAAGGCGACGAUCCGUAGCUGGUCUGAGAGGAUGAUCAGCCACACUGGAACUGAGACACGGUCCAGACUCCUACGGGAGGCAGCAGUGGGGAAUAUUGGACAAUGGGCGCAAGCCUGAUCCAGCCAUACCGCGUGGGUGAAGAAGGCCUUCGGGUUGUAAAGCCCUUUUGUUGGGAAAGAAAAGCAGCAGGUUAAUACCCCGCUGUUCUGACGGUACCCAAAGAAUAAGCACCGGCUAACUUCGUG